rnacentral:rRNA from 1 species
UGAGGAACAUGACCUUCGGCGGGGGAUAGCCGGCCCAACGGCCGGGUAAUACCGCGUACGACCACAUGGGGACAUCCCUGAGUGGUGAAAGCAGCAAUGCGCCGAUGGAGUGCCUCGCGGCCUAUCAGCUAGUUGGUGAGGUAACGGCUCACCAAGGCGACGACGGGUAGCUGGUCUGAGAGGAUGGCCAGCCACAUUGGGACUGAGACACCGGCCCAGACCUCUACCGGGGAGG